UAUUUGGGGCAAUAUGCGCAAUUGUUUCUACAUAGGCGGUAAUGGUAACGUUUUCUUCUGUUGCUCAGCCCAUAUCAUAAACUUGUAUAUGUAUGAUGGCUUGUUUCGAAGCUGAGACAUUUUUACAUAUGUGGUUAAAUUUUCGGGGUCCGAAGUGUGAUUCAUUUUUCCGUAAAUUAGCAAACCCUGAGUAUCCUUUUGCGAUGUGGCUCCUCAUGGUAAAAAAUCCCAUUUUUGACACAAUAAGUUCU
rnacentral:lncRNA from 1 species